GGCCAACUGGUGAGGAUGCUCUCACUGUCUCCACCAAUAAACAGACACUAGUGGUAGCAUCACUAACAACAGAACUUUGCUCUUUUAUGUCUUAAUAAUGCUCUGCAAGAGAGCACUCAGGAACCCAAGUGGAAAGAAAUGUCUACUGGAAGUCAGAGGCUUAAGUUCCAGAGAGGGUUCAAAUUCAGAAUUCAGACACAUGAAGUAUGCUUGUACACCAAAAAGCCCCUUGCUCACCACCAAGACUCUUCAGAGUUCAUUGAGCUCUCUCCUCUGGCUUCCAGACUGUUUUAGGAGGCUUGGAUCUUUCCCCUGGCAUUUGUAACUUAGGUACCUGUUUCUGAUAUUGUAUGGGAAUAUAGUGGAAGAUUUGGCGAGGAGCUGCCACUGAACACAUGUAAACUUUUGGUAUCCAAAGAAUUAGGCAUUAAGAGUUCCAGAGCUUCACAUCACACACACUGCAUGAGGAAUAACUUCACUUGGUUUGUUCUGAACUGGUCACCAGGAAACUUGACCUUAAGCCUGCUGGUAGCAGUGAAUUGCUUGUGAAGAGCACAGAAUGGAACAAAAAGGCUGGACUGAAGUAAUGUGUUGGAGAGAGGAAAAAACCUUUGCAAUUUAUUAAUGUAUUCAAGAGACUGUUAAAAAACUUUACCAUUUAAUUAUUGGAAGAU